rnacentral:misc_RNA from 1 species
UCACUAAUCAAGCCCGGCUUGCUGUUGGACCUCUUGUCGUUAAAAGACAGGUCCCAAAGAUAAUGGCGGUGUUAUUAGAACCCUAGAUGCAACGAGCUUUAAUUAGCACGCAUGAUAGUGGCCUUUUAACCCGGUCUUUUUAACCAAUUUUUAA